ensembl:snoRNA SNORA70 Small nucleolar RNA SNORA70
UUGCAAAAAAAAAAAAAAAAAAAAAAGAAUCACCUUCCCUGUGGAGGCCUGGUGUGCAAUGGCUACAAACACAGCCUCCUGGGCAGUGUACAGCCUGUUGCUUAUACAGGUUGCCCUAAGGGACCUUGGAGACAGCC